rnacentral:rRNA from 1 species
AACGAACGCUGGCGGCGUGGCUAAGGCAUGCAAGUCGAACGGACCCGCUUUCGGGCGGGUUAGUAGCGCACGGGUGAGGAAUACAUGGAUAACGUACCCCGGACACAGGGAUAGCGGCGGGCCGCAAGGUCCUUUGCGAAAGUGCCGGUAAUACCUGAUGAUCCCAUCGCCCCGCAUGAGGUGAUGGGCAAAGCUCCGACGGUCUGGGAUCGGUUCAUGUCCUAUCAGCUAGUUGGUGAGUAACGGCCACAAGGCUGUGACGGGUAUCGGGCGUGAGAGCGUGGCCCGACACAUCGGAACUGAGACACU